rnacentral:misc_RNA from 1 species
UACGAGUGCCCCGAGCGUUAUCCGGAAUCACUGGGCGUAAAGGGUGCGUAGGCGGCUUUGUUAGUCUUAUGUUAAAUCCUCAGGCUUAACCUGAGUGCAGCAUAGGAAACGGCAAAGCUAGAGGACGCGAGAGGUCUGUGGAACCCAUGGUGUAGGGGUGAAAUCCGUUGAUAUCAUGGGGAACACCGAAAGCGAAAGCAGCAGACUGGCGCGUUCCUGACGCUGAGGCACGAAAGCCAGGGUAGCGAACGGG